GACAAGAUGGGAAUAACUAAGGCAGAGUGAGAGGCAAUUACAGAGGAGGCAUCAUGUGAGAAUGGACAUCUGAAUCAAGACAAUCAUCAGUUUGUUUUGACUGUCAAAGAAGUGGACAAAAGAAACAGGACAGGGAGAGGGAGGAGACACCCAGGCACUGAAGGAUGAGCCCAACGAGCAUGCCUUCCUCUUCCCUUGUGAAAUAGCAUAGUUUUAAGGAGGCCUAGAGAAUUCUACAAGAGAAGGUGUAUACCAAUACUAUCAAAGGGAGUUUGAUGAGGAAACCAUGAUGAGGGACUAUCUUAUGGGUGAGCCCACCUGAUACCCAACGAUGCCCUGACUAGGUACAGAGAAGGUAGUUAAGACAUCUCAGGGAUAGGUGGUGGUGUAAGUAGGUAAGACUAACUUGACUAUGUCCUAGGGACUGUUACAUAUUAAAAUAUUACCUCUAGAUCAUGGGAGUUCCCUAGUGGUCACUCACACUCAACAAGUCUAAGGAAUAGAAUGAUUUAGCUUUAAUGGGAAAAAUAAAGUUUGUAGAAAUAUUGAAAUGAUGUAAUAUCUGCUUUACAUGUAACUAAUGUGAAGCCAAAAGAUCUUAUGUACUAUACUAUGACAUUUGAUAAAGAAAGCAAUAGAUAAAAUAAAGAAAGCAGAGAAAUAGGAUUGAUAGAAUAAGAAAAUAGAACUAGGAUUUACUAAUAGUUUAGAUAGCCUAGAUAAAGUAGUAUAGGGUUAGAAUAAUUAGGAAUAGAGGUAAGCUUAGUUUUUGAAGAAUAAAACAUUAUAAAAGUCUAUGACAUGCAGAGGAAAUUGGAGUAAGGUAUGUUGAAGAAAUUAUGAGAUUACUGCAUGUCCUAGAACAUCUAAUUAAUAUAGCUUACAUACUAACCAGUCUUAAAGUAGUAUCCCAAAUUGACAAUAAGUAAAAUAACAAUGCUUAUAGGGAAAUUUGUUUAAUCUCUAUGCAAAAAGAGAAUAGAUGGAAUUAGGAUCAUCAUAAGUCAUUGUCAGAAGAUUAAAAUGUUUUAUUAUUUCAGAAAUAGAAAAGUUGGUGGAAAGAUGUUGGUCUUCAUGGAAGGAAUGGAGGUCCACCAACUCUAUUCUGUUAAUCACAGUAACAAAGGGGGGCGAACCCCUGGUAGAAUGUUAAAUUGUAUGAUUUGUUACAUUUGUUACCUUGGGUUACAGAUUUUUAUAAUUUUUCACUGUCAUUAUUUGAUUAAUGUUUUAUUUGAAUGUCCCUUUGGGAAAAAAAGAGUCUGCUGAAUACCAUAACUAUAACUUUAAUGGUUAGUGGCAUUUAUAUUAUACUAACCAGAUACUUUCCCAACAGAUACAGUACUUGAUAUGGUGUUUUCCUUUGCGCAUAUUUGGGAUCUAUGCGCAAGGGGGGAGUAGGAAAGAGGAAUAUUUUUAUUGAAGGAUUUUCAUAGUUACAGGAAGUUAUUGAUGAUAGUCUAACAGAUGUCAUGUGUAUAGUCAUAAUAUCAGGAAAGUGAUAGUGUUGUCUAAACCAUUAGGUCCCAGAAGGAUCAUAAAAACACUUAGUUAUUGAUUACAUUGAUAUGCUAAAAAUAAGAAACUUUGGUAGUGGUUUGUAGGGGUUUUCAGAUGAUAAGGGCAAAUUACAUGUUAAAAGGGAGAAUUGCUAAAAUAUAUGCCUCAACAGAUUUAAACUGGUUUGAUGCCUUACGCAUUGCUUCGAUGCAAAUAAGGUUACAAUAAAACCAGAGUAAUCACUUUUUGCAUUAAAGAUAAAAGCUGAGAGGUCCACCAGAGGCCCACCUUUGGAUCAGCUCCAAGGAUAAAUGAGAAAUUAUAUGGAAUAAUUGUCAUUAAUUCACAGAACAAUCUAUAAGCAGGAAAAGGACUUUCAGAUGGACCUACAGGAAAAGAGUCAACAACCUACAGUAUACUGCCUGGGGACAGAAAUGAUCCUGGCAGUGGUGGGUAUAGUGUUUUUGGGAUGUAUGCUCCUGUUCCCCUGUUGAGGGUAGACUUUCAGGCAAGGAAUCCAGUGAGGAAGGGGGGACAUUGUCUGAGCAACAUCUGCCUGAUAACAAUCAGGGAAUGGACAGAAAACGGCAGAGAUCCCAGUCUAUGACAUACCACCAAACCACCAGGAAAUGAGCCAUUCAACUGUUUUUUCACAAGUGAGGCUGACAAAGAAGACUCAGGUAACACAGAAAUUAUUGACUGACAAAAUCUUAUCAACCACCAGGAAUCUGGAAUAUUGGUGAAUCUUCCAAUAUGAAUGCAGUCUGUUAUGUGCUUGGAGCACUAAGAGAACAGGUGGCUGCAACUUCCUGGGUAGCUAUGCACAACUGGAUAAUGUUGGAUCAGAUAUUAGCCAAAGGAAAUGGAGUGUGUGUCAACGUAGGAGUAUAUUGCAGUACUUUUAUUCCCAUAACAUAGCUAUGGCAAAACUAAUAAUGAUAGAAUGCUAGUUAAGGGGGCAUUAGGAGGAUUAGAAAUAUGGCUAGCACAAAUAGGAAUAGUUGUAGGAAUAGGUUUGCUUGUAUUUGUGCUUGUUUUCUCUUUGUUUCUUCCUUGUUUGAGAUCCAUAGUGCUUAAAACAGUGGCUGGGAGAAAUGGAUCACAAAUUCUACUGCUGUUGAUGAAUGAAGCAAAUGGCAACCCUAGUGGAAGGAGAUACUAGUGCCAGGACAGAUGAUAAGGAAAUGGAAACAUGACAGUGAUGCCAGUGAUGCCAGAACUGAUGCUUCUCAUAGAGGAUUGGAGAAAGGAGGAAAAUUAGGAUACAGUAUGCUGGUUGGGAGCAAAACCAGCUCUUUCAUUGAUGAAGUGGGAUUGGGUGUGGACUCCACUCCGCCCAACAGCCAAGCCACUAAUGUUCUCAGAGCAUAUGAGAUGGAGUGCAGAACUAAGACAAUGGCUUUUGUUUUUGGGAAUUGCAAUAUUCAUAACAUACCUCACACUUGAAGCGCAGCAUCCAACAUUUGAUAAUACAUCUGCGUUUGCAUUUACACUCUGCCAUCUCCGAGGAACAAUCAAUGGACUAAAAAAUUGUGUGUAAUGAGAAUGAAUUAUUAAUAGUUUGGUGUUACCCUCUUCUUUAAAAACAAAGUAAUUAUAGCAUGUAACCUAUCUUCAUGUAGAAGUUUAGAAUAUUAUAGGACUAGCUCUAUCUGAAAACACCCAUCAGGAAUUCUGAUGUGAUCUGUUUGCUCAUUUGAUGAAUGUUUGGGGAUGGAAAAGCAUAUGUGUAGUUGAAGGAAAGUUUCUCCUUUCGCUUGUUGAAAACAAGUGUUGCUGUACAAACAGGACAGUAGAAGAGUUUCCCUUAUGAAGGUUUUUUCCUCUAAAAACAAGAAAAAAAGAGGUUUUCCCUUAAGGGUUUUCGCUUCCACCGAGAGGAUUUGAAACUUGCCAUUCUAUUUGAUAA